rnacentral:misc_RNA from 1 species
AGCAGCCGCGGUAAUUCCAGCUCCAAUAGCGUAUAUUAAAGUUGCUGCAGUUAAAAAGCUCGUAGUUGAAUUUCGGGAUCAAUAUGUUGGUCGUGCCUCGGUACGUACUAGCUUAUUGGUUUCUUCCUUCUGACGAACCAUAAUGUCAUUUAUUUGGCGUUAUGGGGAAUCAGGACUGUUACUUUGAAAAAAUUAGAGUGUUUAAAGCAGGCUCACGCUUGAAUACAUUAGCAUGGAAUAAUGAAAUAGGACGUUUGAUUCUAUUUUGUUGGUUUCUAGGAUCGACGUAAUGAUUAAUAGGGAUAGUUGGGGGCAUUAGUAUUCAAUUGUCAGAGGUGAAAUUCUUGGAUUUAUUGAAGACUAACUACUGCGAAAGCAUUUGCCAAGGAUGUUUUCAUUAAUCAAGAACGAAAGUUAGGGGAUCGAAGACGAUCAGAUACCGUCGUAGUCUUAACCAUAAACUAUGCCGACUAGGGAUCGGAUGAUGUUAAUUUUUAAUGUACUCAUUCGGCGCCUUACG